rnacentral:misc_RNA from 1 species
GAUCCAAAAGAGCCAUGAUUAAAACAUUCCAGGCAAACGUGACAAACACCAUCAUGGACAUUCACUUGUUUUGGGGUGGGAAUGGCACUUGCUGCAUGCCAUUUCAAUGUACAUACAGACUGUCAGCAAUUCAUGUUUCACAAGGUUCCUCUCGCAGCUAGUCGUGCAAAUUUUUCAUGUUUUCUGCUUUUGGUUGCAAUUUUCAUUUACAAACACUUUUCUUUUUCUUUUUUUCAUUUCUAGCUAGCUAGGCUCCAUUUUUUUUCCAGUUUCUGAUAGUACAGAAUCUUCCAAGCGGGACAAGAAGCAAGUAGGAAAACUUGUUGGGAUAGCAGUAGGACGUGCAGCUGGGCUAGUGAUAAUCUCUUCUAUAUUUCUAUCCUUGGUCGACGAGGGAUUCACCUAAACGCAUCCAAACUCACAGAGAACCACCUGGGUAGUGAUGAUGCCAGAAGCAAGAUGCACCCAAUAAUUAGCCAAGAAAUGCCUCCACCUCCAUCACAUUGUAUUAUAUAUAAUUGUGGAUUUUGGCUCUAUAGACUCAUCACUUGUCACUGUAACUAAAAAUUAAAUCGAACUAUUUUAACUUGAUUUAAUUGAUUUGAUUUGAUCUUAUUAAUUCUUUUAGAAAAUUCGAUUCGAU